rnacentral:rRNA from 1 species
CACGUAGGGUGCGAGCGUUGUCCGGAAUUAUUGGGCGUAAAGAGCUCGUAGGCGGUGUGUCGCGUCGGCCGUGAAAACCUGCAGCUUAACUGUGGGCUUGCGGUCGAUACGGGCAUCACUGGAGUUCGGCAGGGGAGACUGGAAUUCCUGGUGUAGCGGUGAAAUGCGCAGAUAUCAGGAGGAACACCGGUGGCGAAGGCGGGUCUCUGGGCCAAUACUGACGCUGAGGAGCGAAAGCGUGGGGAGCGAACGGG